GACAUGCUUUUUCAGUAGACUUUUGAAGGCGUUCAAGACUACUCGGUUUGCAGAAUUCAGCAAAUGCCAAGGCCAAACAGUUGAUGAGUUAGUAUAGAUUUAUAGUCAAUUGGUUUUGCUUUGGAGGGAGACUCAAUAAGCUGCACCCUUCUGAUUUUUCUGGACUUGGGGAGAAAAAUCCAUGUACCCCUGUGUUCUGCAGCUCUUGUACCCCUGUGGCUUUGACUAGCUCAGCUAAACUUCCCUAUGAGACUGGUUCAGAAUCAGAGGGAAACAACUGCACUUUACAAGAAAAGCUUUAGAAACCCAGAGGUUCCAGGCCGAAGGACACACACGGAUUAAGGAAAAUAAUUCUCCUAGAUCAGAUUGGUUCAGGCUGAGGGAAUUUUGCAGUCUUAUGUAGGAUGGAGCAUGGUCAUAUUCCUAGGAUCUUCAAGGCAUACCUGCUGCUGCAGUAUCGGGGUAUUAGCACUGCCGCUUGCCAGAUGCCAUCAGAGAAGACAGUACUAUCAUAGUGACAGUUCUGAGGGGGCAAUUAAAGAGAGAAGCCCCCCUAGCCCAGUGGUUGCUUGAGAUGCCUGAACCUGGGCAGGAGUCCCAUGCAAGCAUUCAGCAGGCUGCUGAGCCUCAUGCCCAGAUUCCCAGAGCAGUUGUUGAAGAUUUGGGAGAAAGGUGCCUCAUCCUGGACUCUGAGUGGAAGAUGUCUAUGAGGGAGAAGAGAUGCUGACAGGUGAAGCCUUUCUAAUGACUCCAGAAACACUACGCAUCAGCACUUCUGUAGUCCUGGAACCAGAGAAGUUGUUUUUGUGAAGAACAUAGACCCAAUGUUUCAGAUGAUGAUGAUAGUGGCUUUUCGAAGAAACUUAGGAAUAAAACUGAUUCUAUCUUGCAUCAAGAACAUAAGACUCAUGAAAACUCUUAUGCAUGUUUCUUUUUAUGGCAUCCUUAAAUAUUGUUUGAGAGAGAGGCUUUUUGAAGACUGCAUGGGUUGCCUUCUAAAUGACCCAGGAUGAGGAAGUCAUGACUCUGUGAAAUGGUCAGAUGGCAAUACAAAUUGGACAGUUUGGGAGCUCUGUGCUGAAUUGUAUAUGGAAAGUGGUUUUAAAUACUGUUAUUGUGAUAAGUUGUGCCACAAAUUGUCUGCACCUUACAGAGAAACAUUGGGCAUCUAUACAAGCGCUCUGGUGUGGAGUGGGGGUGGGGGGGUCACAUUAAUUAGAAUGGCUUGAGAGACAUUCUUAUUAAAGCACCCACAGCCUUGCAUGUAUUCAAUGUCCCACACUUGAAAAUGGUGGUGGGGUGCUUGAACUAAAACUUGUUCAAUGUGGAGGCUGUUGGACCACAUUCAUUAACAUGCUCCAGCAGACUCAAUUAAUCAAGACUGCUCCCACGCAUGCCAAUUAGCAUGUGUCAGAGUAGAUAUCUGGCAUGUGCAUAGCUGUUCAUUUAGCCCAGAGCUUAGCAAUUUAAAUGCUGUUCAUUUUGCUGAAGACCCUAAUGCUGCUCUAUACAGGGGGAUCAAUGAGAAGGAUAAGCCUAUGGUGCCCUAUACUGAAUGCUUGAUUGGCACUAGAAAUUAUAAAACCCUACUUAAGAGAAGGAUCUGGGUAGUAUAUUAUAUAAGCUAGUAUAAGAUUAGCAAGAACAGUAAAUUUUGUACAAAUA